GUAAAAAUAAGAAAUUAUCGAAUUGAUUUGCUCAGGCAAAAUCUGCUGGUGCAGAAA
rnacentral:ncRNA from 1 species